GUGAGGUGGAUCAAGAACUAAAGGCAGAGCUCAUAGGGUCUAGAUCAGACCUCAGAGGGUUAUGAUCAGUGGAGCAGAAUCCAUUUGGAGAAACGUGUCACUAUGGUCAGCAUCAAUCCUUUCAGAGCAUCACAGAUCUUGCAAUCUUGAAAACUUCCACAAAUCAAAAUAUUCAAAGCCUUGAAAAUACAGUCUCAAGAAUACACAAAAUAUAAAGUCCUUCCUGGCAUAUAAGAAGAAAAUUCAUUAUAUUGAAACCAAAGGCUACUGUCCAUUGUUUUCUUGCAGUUUCUACUAUAAAAAGCAUCAGGGCAAAACCAGAUGAAAAAAAGGCCAAUUUAAAAGAAUUGAAUUCUCCAUGAAGAGCAGGGUUUCUCAUUAGAAGAAGAGGAGGAGAAGUGAUUUGCAAGUCAGAGUGAAGGUUGCCUGAAAUAUUCUCAAGAAUCCCACAGAGUUCUGGAGGGGCCAGUCCUUGUAACAAUGAGAGUGGACAGGAAAGCAUUGCAGAGGCUAAGGCAAGCAGUUCACACAUCAGAAAGUUGCAUUUUUACAAAAAAUGCAUUUCAAA